rnacentral:rRNA from 1 species
CAGGACGAGCGCUGGCGGCGCGCCUAACACAUGCAAGUCGAACGGGGUCCUUUAGGAAGCUUGCUUCUUGGUUGGACCUAGUGGCGGACGGGUGAGUAACACGUGAGCAACCUACCUUGGAGUGGGGGAUAACAUCUGGAAACGGAUGCUAAUACCGCAUAAUAUCGAGAGUCGGCAUCGGCUUUUGAUCAAAGGAUUUAUUCGCUUUAGGAUGGGCUCGCGUCCGAUUAGAUAGUUGGUGAGGUAAAGGCUCACCAAGUCUGCGAUCGGUAGCCGGACUGAGAGGUUGAUCGGCCACAUUGGGACUGAGACACGGCCCAGACUCCUACGGGAGGCAGCAGGUGGGGGAUAUUGCACAAGUUACGGGGGGAAACCCUGAUGCAGCGACGCCGCGUGAGUGAAGACGGCCUUCGGGUUAGUAAAGCUCUGUUGGAGGGGGACGAUAAUGACGGUACCCCUUUAGAAAGCCACGGCUAACUACGUGCCAGCCGCCGC